UGCCUGUAUACAAGGCUUGUAUUGUUAACAUCAUCUGAUACAAUCAACUGGAACAAAGCUGAAAUGGCUGUCUGACCUGACUUAAAAAUCGGAUGGCAGUACAUCAGACUAGAAGAUUACAAGUAUUGAGAUGGACAAAAUGAAACCUGAGCCUACCAAAGCUGACAGAUUGCACAAGAAACACAUAAAUGCAGAUUUGAAGAUUCAUUCUGUGGAAAGUAGAAAAGGGCAUGUUACAUACUGUUAUCACUGCCAUGACAGAAACCAUAUUGAGGAGCUGGUCCACCUAUAGGAAGAAUUGCGCUAUUGGUUGGAGCAGCACUAUUCCCCAGCCAUACACCAGCACUUAGUUUGUCAUAGGGAGCAUUUCUGAGCAGUUAUGGAGACCACUAACUAUGCAGUUGUUGCAGUGAAACUUGCACCAGUGUGUUUUCUGUGGAGAUAAAGAGAUAGUGUCCAGCAAUGAAGACCCAACUCAAGAUCUGACCUUGUAAGGCCAAUAUGAAAUAACUGUGUGGGAAAAUGGGAAAAACCUGCAGUCAGGAAUGCACGGAAAUCAUCAAAAGAACAGUGUUAAAUUAAUCUUGAAUAAUUUGACAUUUAUUUUGUUUGACAUAUUUAUUUAUGGUGCAGUGAAAACAUGCUUUUUUUUCUCAUGGUUAUUUAAAUUUAGAAUUGA